rnacentral:rRNA from 1 species
ACUGAAACAUCUAAGUACCCCGAGGAAAAGAAAUCAACCGAGAUUCCCCCAGUAGCGGCGAGCGAACGGGGAGGAGCCCAGAGCCUGAAUCAGCAUGUGUGUUAGUGGAAGCGUCUGGAAAGGCGCGCGAUACAGGGUGACAGCCCCGUACACAAAAGCGCAUGUGCUGUGAGCUCGAUGAGUAGGGCGGGACACGUGGUAUCCUGUCUGAAUAUGGGGGGACCAUCCUCCAAGGCUAAAUACUCCUGACUGACCGAUAGUGAACCAGUACCGUGAGGGAAAGGCGAAAAGAACCCCGGCGAGGGGAGUGAAAAAGAACCUGAAACCGUGUACGUACAAGCAGUGGGAGCACAGGUUUACCUGUGUGACUGCGUACCUUUUGUAUAAUGGGUCAGCGACUUAUAUUCUGUAGCAAGGUUAACCGUAUAGGGGAGCCGAAGGGAAACCGAGUCUUAACCGGGCGUUAAGUUGCAGGGUAUAGACCCGAAACCCGGUGAUCUAGCCAUGGGCAGGUUGAAGGUUGGGUAACACUAACUGGAGGACCGAACCGACUAAUGUUGAAAAAUUAGCGGAUGACCUGUGGCUGGGGGUGAAAGGCCAAUCAAACCGGGAGAUAGCUGGUUCUCCCCGAAAGCUAUUUAGGUAGCGCCUCGUGAAUUCAUCUCCGGGGGUAGAGCACUGUUUCGGCUAGGGGGCCAUCCCGGCUUACCAACCCGAUGCAAACUGCGAAUACCGGAGAAUGUUAUCACGGGAGACACACGGCGGGUGCUAACGUCCGUCGUGAAGAGGGAAACAACCCAGACCGCCAGCUAAGGUCCCAAAGUCAUGGUUAAGUGGGAAACGAUGUGGGAAGGCCCAGACAGCCAGGAUGUUGGCUUAGAAGCAGCCAUCAUUUAAAGAAAGCGUAAUAGCUCACUGGUCGAGUCGGCCUGCGCG